rnacentral:tRNA from 1 species
GUGCGAAUAGCUCAGUAGGAUAGAGCGACAGUUUCCUAAACUGCAGGUCGCAGGUUCGAUUCCUGUUUCGCACACCA